rnacentral:lncRNA from 1 species
CCUGGAGAGAAUCCGCAGCCCUGAACACCACGCAGCCAAAUAACCUGGAGAAGAAGGUGCCUUGCUUCUACUGAGGUAUGCAUCCUUACAUACAGACAAGGUGAAGUAAGAGCUUUCCUAAAAAGGGCCCAGGGCUAAGAAGAAAAUGCCUUGUCCCUUGAUUUAGGGCUCUAUUCAGCUUCACUGAGUUGAGCCACCUUUUACCAGCUGAAAGCUAAGUCCACUGUAAAGGCUUCUGAUAGUUCAGGAUAAAUGAGAAAGCAGAAAGAGUGGCUGCAUUUUCAGGUUUUCAAUUCCUUGAUGUCCUCAUUACCCAAACCAAAAUGGAAGAGGACCCUGCAAGCAGAGCUUCUAACAUCAGCGCUAGACAGAAUAUACUAUGAGUUGCAAAGAAG